AGAAAGCAGAGGUCAACCUCUGUCCUGAUUACCCAGCAGGCGAAACCAAAGAAAGCCUUGAGAAGGAAAGGCAAGCGCUGACAUUAGAGGUGAAGAAGAAGAACAACCAUCUGCUAAGCAACAGUAAAAUGGCGAAAAACCUACGCCUGUGGGAGACGAGAAGUAAUUGAAGAUAUGCCCUUCAUAGCAGAGUUCAAAAACAGAUGGCCAGCCCUCUUUUCUGAGAGUCAGCUAAAUGCAGAGUUCACCCGCAUUACCACAAUCCCCCUGCUGUCAACCUUUAUGGCCCAACGGGACCAUUACUCCAGUCAACUAACGAGGAUUUUCAAAAAGAAGGGAGGAGCAGCAGGACGCACAUCAGCCAGAUCAUGGCAGCCAUGGAUCAGAAUCCAACCAUUGAAGUAAGGCGGGAAUGGAUACUAAAAGCAGUAUGCUUCUACUUAAAUGAAGAUCCUGACAAACUUGUUAAAAUGUACAUGUUUUAGGAUGUUGCUGCAUUGGGAGAAAUGGAGAAAGUGGUUUUGGCCAUCUACGUUGUGGAACAUGAGGGAGCAGAGGCAGCAGAGGAACCUGAGGAUGUUGGCGUCAGCGUUGAAGGCUGUACAGUGCUGGAAGACCUGAGAAAUGUGGCAAAUGGCUGCGCCACGUGCCUGAAACUCAAUACGUUUUAUGGGCAUUGGCUGAACCAACAAUUACCAUUAUUAAUGCAACACACAGGGGUCAGCUGAGGUCACAGGCUACAUGUUUUCUUGUUUCUGCUGAGUCAGGUUCUCAUUACGAGGCUGGGGAGCAUUCAGAGGGCGGGCUGCUUCAUUCAUUUUUGCUUACCUCUUCACUCACUAAAAUCACACACACUUGGGUCAUAGAUCAAACACCUUUUCCAGGUUCGUGGUGUAUUUUUCAGUGAUCAAACAACAAAAGGGAGGGGAGGGUCAUCGUAUGAUGUUGAAAACCUGUGACGUUGACAGCAAAGUAUUCGGAGGGUUAAGUUGGGCCAUUUUCCCAGUGAUUGAGGCUCCACUUUGUACAAUGGGAUUAGCCAGUCUGUAGUAUAUGGGGCGCUGUUUGUAAAAUGCCGCACGUUCUAAAAUCCUGCACAGUUUUGGUACAUUUAGCAUUAUCAUAUGAAUAAAAAGCACAACAAUAUUCAUAUGUCACUUUUUCAAACAUUUAGAGAGAAAUUCAUGCAAUAACUUUUCGAAGGAUACGGUUUGGCAAUAACACAAAGUUGUUAAAUAAUAUAAAUGUUAAAUGUAAAUGUUGGGUUAUUUCUGACAACUUUUAAGAGGGAUCGGAUUAAUCAAUCAGCGAGGAGAUGGGUAUAAAGUAAAAGACAUGUAACUUCCUGUAGCCACUAGGUGGCGCUACGACAACAUGUCUGCAGGCUAUUGAUGUCAUGACAUGUGACAUGUGUAGCAGAUUACAAAAUGUAUGGCCAAUGAAAACAACUUCAAUUUUUACGGCGAAUAGUGUUUUUUUUGCCACUGCGCCACGCUUACCUAGUUCAAUAUUCUUUCAAUCUUUAUAUCAGGGCUCUCAAGUUUUCAAGAAAACUUGGCGUGACAUUUUGUCGGGGCUGGACACUACGGCCAGCUGUAAUACAGGUCAAGUCCCAAAUUAAUUCAGUUCAAAUGCAAGGGUAAAUUCAUUUUUGUAAUUCACAAUUACAUUAUUCGGCCCAAGUCUCAUGUUCAGCUCCAGCACAAACACUAUGUAAUAAGUUACAAAAAAUGAAAACGCUAAAAUAUCUAUGUGAUGGCGGGCGUGGUUUGGCUCGGCUGAGAGGGGGAGUGGCUCAGGGAACGGUGCCAGUUGGAGGAGAAAUUGGCCUCAGCUGCAGGAAAUAAAAGAUCUUGUUAGUCAGAUAUUCCUUUGGUUGUCAAAGCAAAACAGGGACAACCCAUAUGGCCUCCUUUCAGCUCAGAGGCUUCUGUCUGUAUUUAUGUUGUUAUGGAACAUAAAUAGACAUUUUCAUUUAGACAAGGUAACAACAGGCCUUUUUACCUUUUUUUUUUGAGAGAUGGAUUUAAAAGCCCAAAACCUUCUGCUGAACUCGAUGUAACCAAUACUCAGCUUUGGCAGAGACCCAUAAAUGGAUUUUCUGCUUUUCUUUCUGAAAGGAGCGUUUCUGUUUUGGUUGUGGACUCCUUUCUGUGUAUAGAUUUUAGCAGGUAUCAGCACUGAAAGGUCAUGAUGCUCCACUUCUGAAAGAACAUGGUUGAAGUUGAAAAGCGUGAACAAGCCUAAAAUGAUGAAAUUCAUAUUGAGUUUUUUAGUAAUCGCAGGGUGUGUAUUCAGCUUCACAGACCAGAAAUGGAUGUCUCAUUAGUAUCAUUAGUGAUUUGCCAGAUUCACCCUCUUACAUCUUUUUUUUCUAGACAUCUUCUGUCUCGAUCUGUUUGUUCUUGAUGUUGGCUGCUAAAAUGUGUGGACAUUUCUCACAGUGACCGAACCAAAUCAAAUAUUCUUCCUGAUUUUUGCUGUCUCUCUCCACCCUCACCAGGUGAAUAACACGCCAUGAGUCUGCCUGCUUAUUGCGCUUGCUACCAACAUAAAUUGCUCCGUUUCAAUAAUGCUGUGUUUUGUUUGUGUCAUCAACCAAGUAAGAACAAAAGAGCUAUGAGCAAGGAACAGCCAUUUGGCUAAUUCAAACAAUGACGGCAAGUUGAACUGUUUUAGGGUGAUAAGCCACGCCCCCUCCCCGUCGCGUUAAGCGCAGAAUAUGCAAUGCACCCUGACUACAAAUGAUGCCCCACUCCUGCGGCACGUUUAGGCCGCAAAGGCCCGGUCAGUGUUAAUUUCGUCGACGAAAACUAUGACGAAAAUCUUUCGUUAACGAACCUUUUUUCCAUGACUAAGACGUGACGAAAACGAUCUUAAAAAAAUAAAAACUACGACUAAAUCUAUUCUAACUUUCGUUAACGAGACGAGGCGAACAUGUUGAUGGUUGACGAAGUCACAAUGCUUUUCCCCCUAAAUUCGCCCGCACCCAACAGACAACAGACAGGCAAAGUACGGCCCCGUACGCGGUUAUUAACGCGUCAUGAUGACGUCAUCCACGAACCCAGAACGCUCUUAUCGGUGCAGCGGUGGUUCUUGUGCACCGACUACGGACCGCGACGACUAUUUUACGCUUCGGCGAGUUUGAACGUGCGCUUCCUUAGUUUAGCUCAGCUGUCUCUGUUUAGCUGCCUGUUAGCAGGCUGAAGCCGAGCUGCUUCAGAGAAACAUGAAGACCCGUUUAACAGACUGUCGGACCUUUCUGCUCUGUUCUCUGGCGACGGCAGGCAGCGUUUCCUCGGCUGGAUGAGACGCUCCGUUACAGGCUUCUCCAAACACGUCUAACAUAAUAAACUCAUUGCAGGUUCUGAAGCCAAGAAAAUAAUGUAUUUCAACGAUUGUGGGACGUUAAGGGGUCUCUUUAGUUGGGACAGUGGAAACAAUAAAGGACCAUGAAGUGUCAAAAGCAUUGCAAGUAAACAGACAAAGACAACAAAGUGUUGCGUUUAGAUCUCUGGUCCUCAUGAAGUUGUUGCACCUUUGCCAAUAUGUUAAAUUCCCUUGCAAAUAAAUGCUUUGCUAUUUGUUAAAAUCCAAA
ensembl:lncRNA